UACGGGGGGGGCAAGCGUUGUUCGGAAUUACUGGGCGUAAAGGGCUCGUAGGUGGUCAACUAAGUCGGACGUGAAAUCCCUCGGCUUAACCGGGGAACUGCGUCCGAUACUGGAUGACUUGAGUUCGGGAGAGGGAUGCGGAAUUCCAGGUGUAGCGGUGAAAUGCGUAGAUAUCUGGAGGAACACCGGUGGCGAGGGCGGCAUCCUGGACCGACACUGACGCUGAGGAGCGAAAGCCAGGGGAGCAAACGGG
rnacentral:rRNA from 1 species